GGUUAAGCGACUAAGCGUACACGGUGGAUGCCCUGGCAGUCAGAGGCGAUGAAGGACGUGCUAAUCUGCGAUAAGCGUCGGUAAGGUGAUAUGAACCGUUAUAACCGGCGAUUUCCGAAUGGGGAAACCCAGUGUGUUUCGACACACUAUCAUUAACUGAAUCCAUAGGUUAAUGAGGCGAACCGGGGGAACUGAAACAUCUAAGUACCCCGAGGAAAAGAAAUCAACCGAGAUUCCCCCAGUAGCGGCGAGCGAACGGGGAGCAGCCCAGAGCCUGAAUCAGUGUGUGUGUUAGUGGAAGCGUCUGGAAAGGCGCGCGAUACAGGGUGACAGCCCCGUACACAAAAAUGCACAUGCUGUGAGCUCGAUGAGUAGGGCGGGACACGUGGUAUCCUGUCUGAAUAUGGGGGGACCAUCCUCCAAGGCUAAAUACUCCUGACUGACCGAUAGUGAACCAGUACCGUGAGGGAAAGGCGAAAAGAACCCCGGCGAGGGGAGUGAAAAAGAACCUGAAACCGUGUACGUACAAGCAGUGGGAGCACGCUUAGGCGUGUGACUGCGUACCUUUUGUAUAAUGGGUCAGCGACUUAUAUUCUGUAGCAAGGUUAACCGAAUAGGGGAGCCGAAGGGAAACCGAGUCUUAACUGGGCGUUAAGUUGCAGGGUAUAGACCCGAAACCCGGUGAUCUAGCCAUGGGCAGGUUGAAGGUUGGGUAACACUAACUGGAGGACCGAACCGACUAAUGUUGAAAAAUUAGCGGAUGACUUGUGGCUGGGGGUGAAAGGCCAAUCAAACCGGGAGAUAGCUGGUUCUCCCCGAAAGCUAUUUAGGUAGCGCCUCGUGAAUUCAUCUCCGGGGGUAGAGCACUGUUUCGGCAAGGGGGUCAUCCCGACUUACCAACCCGAUGCAAACUGCGAAUACCGGAGAAUGUUAUCACGGGAGACACACGGCGGGUGCUAACGUCCGUCGUGAAGAGGGAAACAACCCAGACCGCCAGCUAAGGUCCCAAAGUCAUGGUUAAGUGGGAAACGAUGUGGGAAGGCCCAGACAGCCAGGAUGUUGGCUUAGAAGCAGCCAUCAUUUAAAGAAAGCGUAAUAGCUCACUGGUCGAGUCGGCCUGCGCGGAAGAUGUAACGGGGCUAAACCAUGCACCGAAGCUGCGGCAGCGACACUAUGUGUUGUUGGGUAGGGGAGCGUUCUGUAAGCCUGUGAAGGUGUGCUGUGAGGCAUGCUGGAGGUAUCAGAAGUGCGAAUGCUGACAUAAGUAACGAUAAAGCGGGUGAAAAGCCCGCUCGCCGGAAGACCAAGGGUUCCUGUCCAACGUUAAUCGGGGCAGGGUGAGUCGACCCCUAAGGCGAGGCCGAAAGGCGUAGUCGAUGGGAAACAGGUUAAUAUUCCUGUACUUGGUGUUACUGCGAAGGGGGGACGGAGAAGGCUAUGUUGGCCGGGCGACGGUUGUCCCGGUUUAAGCGUGUAGGCUGGUUUUCCAGGCAAAUCCGGAAAAUCAAGGCUGAGGCGUGAUGACGAGGCACUACGGUGCUGAAGCAACAAAUGCCCUGCUUCCAGGAAAAGCCUCUAAGCAUCAGGUAACAUCAAAUCGUACCCCAAACCGACACAGGUGGUCAGGUAGAGAAUACCAAGGCGCUUGAGAGAACUCGGGUGAAGGAACUAGGCAAAAUGGUGCCGUAACUUCGGGAGAA
rnacentral:rRNA from 1 species